GAUAGUAUGGCAUAGUGGUUUGAGUGUUGGACUACAACUCUGGAGACAUGGCUUCAAUUCCCAGCUCAGCCA